rnacentral:tRNA from 1 species
CAAAAGGUAGUUUAAAUAAAAUUUUAAUUUUGGAGAUUAAUGAUAAAGGUAUUUCUUUUCUUUUGA